rnacentral:rRNA from 1 species
GACGUAGGGCGCGAGCGUUGUCCGGAUUUAUUGGGCGUAAAGAGCUCGUAGGCGGCUCGUUGCGUCGGCUGUGAAAACCCGCAGCUCAACUGUGGGCUUGCAGCCGAUACGGGCGGGCUUGAGUUCGGUAGGGGAGACUGGAAUUCCUGGUGUAGCGGUGAAAUGCGCAGAUAUCAGGAGGAACACCGGUGGCGAAGGCGGCUCUCUGGGACGGUACUGACGCUGAGACGCGAAAAGCGUGGGGAGCGAACAGG